rnacentral:rRNA from 1 species
UGGGGAAUUUUGGACAAUGGGCGAAAGCCUGAUCCAGCAAUGCCGCGUGUGUGAAGAAGGCCUUCGGGUUGUAAAGCACUUUUGUCCGGAAAGAAAUCCUUGGCUCUAAUACAGUCGGGGGAUGACGGUACCGGAAGAAUAAGCACCGGCUAACUACGUGCCAGCAGCCGCGGUAAUACGUAGGGUGCAAGCGUUAAUCGGAAUUACUGGGCGUAAAGCGUGCGCAGGCGGUUUGCUAAGACCGAUGUGAAAUCCCCGGGCUCAACCUGGGAACUGCAUUGGUGACUGGCAGGCUAGAGUAUGGCAGAGGGGGGUAGAAUUCCACGUGUAGCAGUGAAAUGCGUAGAGAUGUGGAGGAAUACCGAUGGCGAAGGCAGCCCCCUGGGCCAAUACUGACGCUCAUGCACGAAAGCGUGGGGAGCAAAACAGGAUUAGAUACCCUGGUAGUCCACGCCCUAAACGAUGUCAACUAGUUGUUGGGGAUUCAUUUCUAGUAACGUAGCUAACGCGUGAAGUUGACCGCCUGGGGAGUACGGUCGCAAAGAUUAAAACUCAAAGGAAUUGACGGGGUCAUAGCUGUUUCCU